rnacentral:rRNA from 1 species
UACAGAGGGGGCAAGCGUUAUUCGGAAUUAUUGGGCGUAAAGGGCGCGUAGGCGGCUUGGCAAGUGGAUGGUGAAAUCCCUCGGCUUAACCGAGGAACUGCCAUCCAGACUGCUUUGCUUGAGGCCGGGAGAGGUGAGUGGAAUUCCCAGUGUAGCGGUGAAAAUGCGUAGAUAUUGGGAGGAACACCAGUGGCGAAGGCGGCUCACUGGACCGGUUCUGACGCUGAGGCGCGAAAAGCGUGGGGAGCAAACGGG